GCUGGUUUAGUUUAAUAAAAACGUUAUAUUGUGGUUAUAAAGAAAAAGGGUUAUUUAGCUGGUU
rnacentral:tRNA from 2 species